rnacentral:rRNA from 1 species
GGCGAACGGGUGAGUAACACGUGAGCAACCUGCCCCUGACUCUGGGAUAAGCGCUGGAAACGGCGUCUAAUACUGGAUAUGUACCACGAUCGCAUGGUCUGUGGUUGGAAAGAUUUUUCGGUUGGGGAUGGGCUCGCGGCCUAUCAGCUUGUUGGUGAGGUAAUGGCUCACCAAGGCGUCGACGGGUAGCCGGCCUGAGAGGGUGACCGGCCACACUGGGACUGAGACACGGCCCAGACUCCUACGGGAGGCAGCAGUGGGGAAUAUUGCACAAUGGGCGCAAGCCUGAUGCAGCAACGCCGCGUGAGGGAUGACGGCCUUCGGGUUGUAAACCUCUUUUAGCAGGGAAGAAGCGAAAGUGACGGUACCUGCAGAAAAAGCGCCGGCUAACUACGUGCCAGCAGCCGCGGUAAUACGUAGGGCGCAAGCGUUAUCCGGAAUUAUUGGGCGUAAAGAGCUCGUAGGCGGUUUGUCGCGUCUGCUGUGAAAUCCGGAGGCUCAACCUCCGGCCUGCAGUGGGUACGGGCAGACUAGAGUGCGGUAGGGGAGAUUGGAAUUCCUGGUGUAGCGGUGGAAUGCGCAGAUAUCAGGAGGAACACCGAUGGCGAAGGCAGAUCUCUGGGCCGUAACUGACGCUG